GCGAGAACAUCACGCGAGAAGACCACUCAAGAAAACCACGCGAGAAGAUCGUGCAGCUGGAAACAGCUGCUGGCGGUAAAGCGUGAGGCUGACGGCGUGAAACUGGGCAGAGCAGGCCGCGACCUGAGGUGCUUGUGGCGGACAAGAGCCUGGGCGCCGAAGCCCUCGCCGGGUGUUCGUUAACAGGCACAAGGCCAUAGUUAGAGAAAGACAGAGCACGGCCAGGUCCCUUCAAAGCCUCCAGUCGACGAAAGGACUGGUUUAGAACUGAAGGCCGCGAGGAAGCUGUCCCUUCUGGGGUCCACGGGUCGGACGCUGAACAUGCACCAGACAGCGGCCCGCGUCCAGGUCAGCCUUCAGCAGGUCGCGUGGCCCUCCCUGAGUGGCUCCCACCAACGGGCCCAGUGUCCGGCUGCUGAACGAAGCAACUGAGAAACCUGGGAGCGCUGGGAUUUCAGCCAGAGCAGAGCAGUGGUGACACAACCCAGGAAGACCACAUCCCUUAGAGAGGUGGAGACGGGGACUGCUGCCCUGCGCUGCUGCGUGUCACCACCUCUACUUUGCAGAACAAGGACAUCUCUCAGCAACAAAAGGGCAGUUAAUGGGAGGAGCCCAGCAGGGGAGAGGAGGGGGGGAUUGCUGGAAACAAAACCAGACCUCUGCUCCUGGCUGUUGGCAGAGUGAAUGGAAUGCAGAGGCUCUGGUGAUGACGAAAUGCAGAUUCUAGCUGGAAGUUGAGAAAACUGAACUUCACUUCUGGAGAGCGUUGGCUUCAACCACCAAUUGUGCAUCAAGGCCAGUAGUCUGUGAAGUGGCUCAGGAGUGAAGACUGGACCUUAAGUGAAAAGUGCAAAAUGCCUCCAAGAGGGCAAAGGCAGAUGAAUGCAGGGCUGAAUAAAGCCCAGUGUGACCUCCAUCACGUGGAUGGAGAGGAGCCAUCCCUCAGAGCCAUAGUGCCCACUCCUUCCGCUCCCGUGGAGCUCUGUGCGUGUCAGACUCUGCCUUCCCCUCCCACAUGGGUGAAUUACAAAUCGCUCCUCAUCUUUCGUUCUGUGCGUCUCAGACCAGCAUGUCCAGAGAGAUGCUGGGUGAUUUGAAUGGGCUUUUAGAUGCCUUGACUUGAUUAAGCCCGUAUUCACCUCGGAUAUGCCUGAGUGAAUGAACUGAAGAACACCUCACAAAGCAGCCAGCCUGCUGGUGGAAACUGCCACAGGACAAACUGCACGUAAAGCCAAGGGGAUGUGGAUAAUGCAGGUUGGAUCAAAAGAGGAAGGAAGCUCUCCUGAGGAACAUUCAGCUUGAACUGGCAAAAGACAGUGGACAAGUGUUUGAGGAAAGGUUCUGGAGGAGAAGGGAGAAAAGCUGCCGCACUCAUGCUUCCAUGGAUUUAUACCCUCCCCUGAUCAGCUUGGAUGGCACCAUCAGGGCAUGAGUAAACUAUGUUAAAUUGUGUUGGAGAAAAUUAUUUGUCAAAGUCUUUAUAAAGUGUUCUAUGCACAUGUGCCAAUUUCAUGUCUAUUGCACUAUUGUUGUGGUUAUGACUGCUGUAAUUCCUCACUUAGAAUAAGGUUGGCUCACAUUUAUUGGACACUUCCUAUGUGCCACACACCAUGCUAACAUCACAUACAUUAUUUCAUCUAAUCCUCACAUCAGCCCAACAAAGGGAGGCACUGCAUUCUCUCUUUUACAGAUAGAGAAGUUAAAACUGAAAAAGAUAAAGUGAUUUGCACUAACUCAGAAUGAGCAAUCCUGGGGAGCACAGUCGCCUAUAAGGACCUUAGGGGCACUCUGUUUUAUAAGCACAGCAUAACUGGUGCAUAUAAAAAUGCCUCCAAAAAACUGAGAUAGGCUUACAUCAUUCUCAUGGAAGCUAUUCAUGAAAACAGGUGUUUAACACAGUUUAAAAAGAUUGCUAUUCAAAAUGAUGAAAACAAACUAAAUUUGGGUGCUCAAAGAAGUGGAGUUCAGUCAGCUGGAAAAUAGAGUUAUGGAGAACAGCUCAUCCCUGAUGAUGCUGAAUAAAUGAAGUGUUACCAUAUUAGUAACAGGAGGAGGAGGAGCAGCACGAAGGCGAUUAAUAACAUUAGUCAAGCUGCAGUGGUUGGACAGACUGGGACAGGAGAGAAAGGAGAAUUAGGGGAACGUCUGGGAAUUUAUCUGUGAAAUAGCCUCAGAAGUCCCGUGCUUUCCCACCACCAUCACCGAUUGCUCAAGUGUAAUGAUGUGUCCAGGUAACGUAUUUAUUUCUUAGAACAAACACUUGGCUCUUCUCUCAUUUUGAACCCCCUGCCUCUGGGUUCCUCUGUACUUUGGCACUGGCAGCAUUAGAGAAUAUAUAUGUGCUGCAGCCUUUGUGCACAGUACAAGGCUAUAGUGAAAGCAAGCGGAUUCUCCUCAUCUGGUAUAUUGAUGCCAUGCAGCAGAAAGCCAAUAAGAGCAUGACCUUGUUCCACACACAAAUACGUUCUUUUAACGGCUUUUCCUCUAAGGCAGCAAGUCUGCACUAGCAGGGAGAACAGAAUGAAUUUUCCUUUCAAGAAACAUGUAAGAUGGUACUCAUUUUCCACAGCUUUUUUUUCCCUUUUAUUUUCUUCAUUUCAUAACAUAAAUGUGUUAAAGCGUGUCCCUUUUUGCAUAUAAUGAUAUUGACUCAGCCAUCUUGCUGAAGGGUCUUUCUCCUCAGGCUGCUGGUUUGGUUCUAGCUGGUGCUGGAAAUGGACCCCAGCCACAGAGAUUAAUGCCAACUCAGAUUCUUAUCACUCACAUUAAAGACACCGUAUUUCUGCCUGUAUUCCUAUCUGACCUCUUGACUAUAUUAGACUUGUGGAUGUAUGGAUGGACAGAAAAACAAAUAAUGAGAUGCUGCAGGUCAAUAACUGCUUUCAAACGAGUGUUACAAUUAAGAAAGCACAGGUUUGAUUCUCCUGCUCCUACAUAACUUCUCUUUGAGGUUGUGCAAAGUUGAGACUGAUAUAUGCCACGGCAUACCAUGAAUAAAGCUUUCAAAGUAAAGUGUAGCCACAAAUGUUGCGUUUAGUUUACAUGUAUAUUAAUAGGUACUUAGCGUACAUGUGACUGUUCCCAUACAGCCUAGGUGCUAGCAUCUCAGCAUUCUGCAUUCUACACUUCCCAGACACCUACUAUGUGCUGGGAGCUCAUCAUUCAAAGACUAAUAAUAAGAAAAAAAUACCUGCAACCAAAGGGGCAGUGCCACAAAAUAAGGAUUCAAGAAUACUCUUUUAAAGACUGUUUCCACACUGUUCUGUGUUUCAAACUGAAAACUACCCCUUUUCCCCCUCUGCGCAUGGAUCAGUCAAG
ensembl:lncRNA